UUAGUUCCCUAAGAUGCUGUGACGAGGAGUCCAUGGAAUGGCCUUUGGAUAUGAGGCUUGCUUUCACAAUGAAAGCGACCGCAGUCUAUUUGCUUGCAUCUGUUGUGUGGGAGCUGCUCUCGCAGACAGAAACGUGGACCUGUGGACUGUCCUGGCAGCCGAAAGCAUUGCCUAGACUUGGGAAUGCAUCUGGAUCACUUGCUGUUUGCCUGCUAGCCCUGUACUAUGGCACCAUUCCCUGUCUCCACUCCUCUUUCAGAGCCUUGGAUUUCCAUUCUACAUUACAUAUAGAUUAAUUCAACAUUGUUUAUUUCCCCAAGCAUGGUGGAUCCCCUAGACCAAGAAUUCUAUUUUGGAUACUAGCUAAUAUUGACCAAAUGGCACAUUAACUUUAGCUGAGAGACUCCUGGCUUUGAAUCCUCUCACUGUCUCUUAAUGACCAGCUGGGCCAGCUGAUGGUUCAGCUUAUUCCCUACCAGAAUAGGGGAUCAGAUUCAGGGAGAUUAUUAUCUCUCUGGGGUGCGGGGAGUGCUGUGGACUGAAUUGUGGCCUCUUCAAAUUCCUCUGCUGAUGCCCUGAUCCUGCAAUGUGACAGUAGAGACAGGGUGAAAGGAGGUCAUAAGGUUAGAUGAGCUCAUAAGUGUAGGAUUCUGACUCUGAAAUGAGUGGCCUUAUCCAAAGAGAUACCAGAAAACUCUGUCUCCCUAUCUUGGAAGGGCACAGUGAAAAGAUAGCUCUCUGCACUCCCAGAAGUGGGCCCCCAUCAGGAAAAAAAAGUCGACGGGCACCUUAAUCUUGGAAUUCCCUGCCUCCAGAACUGGAAAGCAUGUGCAUGGAUGCUGUGUCACCAUGUGAUGCCAUCUGUCACAUUCUGAAACAACAAAAAAGACCUCACCAGAUGUGGCCCUUUCAUCUUGGACUUCCCAGCCUCCAGAACUGCUUCAUGGCAGGGAUGAGCACAUCAAGCAAUAAGUGUGAAGGGUGCUUUUGACAACUGCAAAACCCUGUACAGAUGAGAAACCGUCACUCAGUGUGGAACUCACAAUCCUCACAACAUAAGAAUGAGCGUUCAAACCGCUAGAGCCUGGAACAGGAAAAGCACAGAACCUGUACCCUCAAAGGCCGUUUCUGAUAAACAGGAGUCUCAUUUAUUAAUGAGGUUGCUGCGAAGGGGCUCUUCCCUGGAUAUGCAGGACAUCUCAUUCUGCAUGUGAGAACUUUCUGGAAAACAGCUGUUGGCCACUGCAAAGUGGAAGCAGCCAGGUGGACCAUGAAGCACACCCUGCGUGUACGCAUGAGCGAGCAAUUAGUGGAAGCUGUCUCCUCAUUUCAGGAGAGAGACUUCACGUGCGUGUCAGGCUUCAAGAGGCAUUCACCUUGAAGGCUGCAGGAGGCUGGUAUCGGAAUUCUGCCGGAGUCAGUCCAGGAGCUGGCGGUGUGAGAAGUUGCUGAACUCCCUCUCACAGGAGACUCCCACGCUGACGACAGAGACGUCAUCAUCACAUUGUGAAACAACCCCGCAAGCUGGUUGGAGGGGCGCUGUAGAACUCCCAAAGUGACAGGCGCAUUUGAUGGAGGAGAAAGCAUGUGUCUGGACUAGAGGACAAGCCCAAGGUCACUUUGAAGUGCUUGAGGAGCUGGGUGAAGGUGAAGGCAGGACUCCUCAUCUAAGCUUAGUACUUUGUAUUAGGCUAUCAGUCAGGGACCUGGAAAUGCAUACCAGUUAUAUCCUCAUGCAAAAAUGUGAAAAAUUUAAACAACUUGAACAUUUAUUCCUUUUGUGCUGUUUCUUGAAUAAUCAAGGCUAGAUUUAAUAAUUUAAACUCCUGCCCUUUCUUUAAAUUCCUCCUGUUAUUUUCUGUUAUUUACUAAAAAAAAUUGUCCUCUCAACAAAAUGUUUCAAUGCAUUUUCUUGGAAUAUUAUAGCUCAUUAUUAGUGUCAACUUCUCCCUGUCUUUAGGAAAAUGUUCAGUUUGCUAUUGGGAAUGACACAAUUUAAUGCAUGUCCAGAAAACCCUUAAUGAUGGAUAAUGCUUCAAAGGACAGCCUUGGAUCAGCAUUUUGCCCCUUGGUAAGGAUGUAUCUGACAUGUGACACACAGGCUAGGCUGGACAUAUAGUUGGCUUUGGAAUACUAGACUUGACUUGCAGAUUUUAUGUUAAAAUCUGGACUUAGAGAAAGCAGUUAUUUUUGAAUCAGAUGUUAAGAGAAAGUCUUAAUAAAAAAUUGGAAACAAGUUGAUUAUCUUGUGUCCCACUUGCUUCUACUGCGUCUUUGAGUCCCUUCCUCUUUCCUUCUUCAUAACCAUAUUCCUAUCAAAGCUCCAAUGCCUUCAUUCCUUCUGUGGUUAAUCCAGUCUCCUACUGAACUGAACAAGACUUCCCCACUUAACAAUGUAUACAAAUCGUUUUCCUCAUUCUCUUGGUGUUCUAAUUUCCUACUAGCAAAUUGGAUCUCUUCAUCAGUGGUAAUCAUGUAACGUCUACUAACAGAUGUUUUCUUUUACAUUGUAAUUGCACUUUACCCAGAGUCUGCCUAAUUGUCACAUUUUAGAUUUGGGUUCAUGGAGUUAAUUCUUUGAGGAACAUGGGUUCCUCUUGAAUACAAACUGUUCCCUUACAGGUGACCCUGAAAGAACAGGGCAUUUACCUUAAAAACUGGCUGUGAUGUGUGUCUUCCUGGUGUCCUGCGCAUCUGUCAGCACAGCAAUAAUCUAGUUGGUCGUAGAAUCUUCCAUCCCACCUUACAAGCCACUGAGUGGCCACAAGACUGGCAAAUAAAAUAAGGGAAGGGUGUUGUUACAGAGGAACCACAAAGGUUCAGAUGGCACCAGAACCAGUGCAUGGAUGUGUAACUAUUUUCUAUACUUCCUAAACAUUUUCUUUACAAUUACUUUGUUUCACAGUCUCUACAGGUUGUGCACAUGUUCCCCAAAUAGAAGAUUGUUAGUAUCUGUCUACCAGUUCAAACUUGCCCUUCCAUCUGGAAGUCUAUAUAUUAUUUGAUUAUAUGUGUACCAAAGUCAUAUAUGCUAUAGGAGAGUACUUCAAAAAGUUUGUGGAAAUUGAAUUAAAAGUAUAAUUUUUGAAAUCUAUGAAUAGUGUUUUUCAUAAUACACAUUUUCUUCCAAAUUUCUGAAGAUCUCUUUAGUUUAAAAAGGACAGAAGGAAAACAAAUAAUAAUAAAAUAUUGACAUACAGUAUUCCCUGCUCCACCUUCCCCAAUCUCACUCUGAGAGUGUGCUUCUAGUAUUU